GUGGGAAGUGGAAGCAGAGAUUGGGAAGCCAAGUCCCUUGGAUUGGGGAUCCAAGCUCCCUGGGACACAGCUGGGAGAUGGGGAUUGUGAUGUGAUGUAGGAAGUAUGGUAUGGGGUGGAGAGAGGCGAUAGCAAAGAGGGAUUGGCCAACAUGUGAGGUUAACAAGCAGCAUUCACAGCUGAAAGUCAUCCAGCCCAUAAUGAUCUGUACUAAUUUGGUCACUACAGGAGUCACUGUUGGCUGUAGGCAAAGGAGGGCUACUCAGUGUUUGUGUCAGGGCCGCUGCUGAGCACUGUGGACCCACGGGGAGGAUGAGCAGAGCAGGUUGGUGCUGUGGUCCCUUCUGGCCAGGACACGGAAGCUUCUGGCUCUGAAUUUAAACCCGAAGACAGUCGAGAUCUCAAUGACAGCCAGAGGCUCAGAGGUGGGUCUGUCAGUGCUGGAAGAAAGACGCAGUAAAUAGUUUGCAUGCUGCAGCGUCGUGCUUAAGAAAGGCUUGAGGAGAUCUGCGGAUGAGAAUCUGUUUGCUUUCCUCUAAACGAGGGCAAAUGCAGCAAGUGCAUCAAAGUUUACCCACCAUGGAGCUCCACCUGUGGCAAUUGCUUCCUAAUAUCCAGCCUACACCUCUCCUGGUGCAGCGUGCAUUGGGUAUCCCUGCUCCUGACCCACGCUCACUGUGCUCCUGGCAUUGACCCUCUCAUCCGAGUGCCAGUGGGAAUGGGACACUUGGUGACACGGUUGUGGCAUGUCAAACACAGCUCAGCUCUGGUAGCUUCUCCCACCUUUGACUAAUUGCUGACCUGACAUCUUUCUGAUAGUGACCUUGUUUCAGCGAGUAAUUCAAGUAUCUUUCAGUGUCAGAAAUAAUAAGUGCCACAGUGAGAUGAACAAGCAGAGCUUAAGUUGAGCACAGAUUAAUGGGGUUUUAAUAUUCCUAAUUUAAUCACUCCUUUCUGUCUGAAUGUGUGCAACAUGAUGUAGCAGCUAAUUAUUUUUUUAACCAUGAUGAGGAUCUUUCCUAAUCAUUUUUAUAUUUAACAUGAAUGAAGGGAGGGCAGUGAUUAAUGAGGGAAUAAAUCUCACGAAACAGAAGCAAGCACAUGAUCAG
ensembl:lncRNA